CUCUUUUUUACAAAUGUCACAUGUCUCGUGUAUACGAGACACAUCAUAAGUUACUUAAAAAAAUCUAAACAAAUUCUGAUUAGGAUUUUGAGUUAAAUUUAACUCUUUUUAAAUAACACAAAAUUUUGCUAAUGAUUCUUAUUGCAUUCUUGGUUUAAUGUUUUCAGAAAAUUUCAUCUGAUGUUUUCGUGUGACCUACGUGCUUGGGACAACAGAGAUCAAAUGGUCCAAUCCAAUAAUGCAAGCUAUGUCUUUGAAAGCAAAAUUGUUUCUAUUUGCAAGGUUAACAUUUGGCAUUCAAGUCGUAGUACAUCUAAAUAUUGCUGCCUUCCCUAGAUCCAAUUCUUUGCUGUUAUUUAUUUUGAGGACAACUGCAAGACAAUGCUACCACUAAAGUGGCUGUGGUGACCACAACUUGAGUUCUAAUUUAGGGCUGUUAUAUUGUUUGGAAACCAAUGAGAGAUUGCUCGAAUUGAAGACUGAUAAUUUGUGUAGAUGUAUAGCUAUUGUGUGGGCUCUGUUUCCCUAACUACAUCAACAUCAACCACCCAACUACUGAUCAUCGCCCGCCAGUGAUCACUGUCGCUGUGAUAAUAAGGAGGAUGAGGAGGGCUUUGAUCGAACGGUGACUUGGAAGGGGCAUGGUCGGAGGACAACUUUUGUAAGUUAUUAGUCACUAGGAAUUUUACUACGACUUAUCUUUCCCUACCAAAACUGGUCCCGCACUCUUCUCUCUCUCUAGUCGUAAUCAAUCAAUGCAAUUUUUCCCCCUGACUAAAUUAACUGCAUGUGCGAGCAUUAGCAAUCACAAUAAAAGCUUU